rnacentral:rRNA from 1 species
UACGUAGGUGGCAAGCGUUGUCCGGAUUUAUUGGGUUUAAAGGGUGCGUAGGCGGCCCUGUAAGUCAGUGCUGAAAUACCCCGGCUUAACCGGGGGGGUGGCAUUGAUACUGCGGGGCUUGAGUACAGAUGAAGUAGGCGGAAUUGACGGUGUAGCGGUGUAAUGCAUAGAUAUCGUCAAGAACACCGAUAGCGUAGGCAGCUUACUAAGUUGUAACUGACGCUGAGGCACGAAAGUGUGGGGAUCAAACAGG